GAUUCCUUUAGAUGAUGAUAUUUGAGUAGGAAUCUCAUUGAGCUUCAGUCAUUCGUUGCAAUGAAAUUAAAUUUCUCAACUGAACACAGCAAA
rfam:Drosophila mojavensis strain TSC#15081-1352.22 Ctg01_11425, whole genome shotgun sequence.